rnacentral:rRNA from 1 species
AUACGAAGGGGGCUAGCGUUGUUCGGAAUGACUGGGCGUAAAGGGCGCGUAGGCGGCGCAUCAAGUCGGGCGUGAAAGCCCCGGGCUCAACCUGGGAACUGCGUUCGAGACUGGUGCGCUGGAGUUCGGGAGAGGAGAGUGGAAUUCCCAGUGUAGAGGUGAAAUUCGUAGAUAUUGGGAAGAACACCGAUGGCGAAGGCAGCUCUCUGGACCGAUACUGACGCUGAGGCGCGAAAGCGUGGGGAGC